AUAUCACCCUGAGUGGAGGCUGAGAUUCAAGAAGAGGCAGAACAGCAUUUUAACAUGCCCAGUCACUUUUUGAGAGAGAAUACCUGUAAAGGAAUGAGGCACAGUUGGAAAGACCGCAGUUCAGAUGACGGACUGAAGAGAGCUGGGAAAAAUCUCAGCAGAUGGCUAAAAGAAGAUUGUAAUCAUAGCUUGCCAGCCUGAUUCAGACAGAGUUGCAAAACAACAGUCCCAAACGCAGACUGUUGCUCUUUCUGAUUAUCUCACCACAAAGAAAUUGGAGAGAUCUGUUUCUUCUGCCUUCUGAUGCCACUUGAACUUUCCAAGAUCUAUCUUAAUUUUGGAGCUUUAUAAAGACACUGAGUCUGAGCCUUACAAGCUUUUUGAGUAAAUCACUGAUAAAUCUCUCAACUUCUUUGUUUCUUUGGGGAUCUAGUUUUUCUUCUAAAACUGGUAUCAGGCUAAUAAUUGCAUGUUAUCUAAAGAAUCUAGUCCAAUGUGAUAUACGUGCCAUUCCAACAGUAAUCUAACAGGCAGCACAUUUCAAGUGGACAUUGCAAAAGUCUAUUCCACAAGAGGAAACAAAUUCUUUUUGCUAUGACCACAAAGCUUAAACCUUAUGAAUGCAGCUCCAAAUAGAAGACAAGCUGAAUAGAAACGACUGGGGAAGAGCAAUACAUAUGGUUGAUUUAAAGUCUUUUUAAAAGGUAUCUGCAAGAAGGUGUGCAAUGAAAAUAUGAUCAAAAUGCCAUGUAUUCUGAAAACAUUCGGUGCCAAAUGCAACUUAGACAGUACUGAAAAUGGAGAUUCAGUAGGAAGACUUGAGCAUCAUGCAGGCAUCAUACAAAAAAAAAGUGGAAAAAAAAAAAUUGUAGUCUAGAAAGAAGGAAUACAAAAGAUCUUUUCUUCCACUUUACCAGAGCAUGAAGUGCUGUCCCUAGAACACCAAUGAAUGGACAACGUGGCAUCCACAGAACUCAGGGAGUAAAGUUCUGUAAUGCAGUAUGAAAUCAUCUGGUUUUAUCCCGUUUACUCAAACCAGGCAGGAGUACUUGAUUUUAUAUCUUCCUACCUGUGUCAUACCAGUUUAAGAGCACUCCGCUCUCAGUCUCAGACAGGAAUCUUUUCUUCCUAACAUUUUUCAUCACUGCUAGAAGAACAAAGCUACAUACCCUUUGAAUUCCUUGGCAAAAUACUCUGGAUAGAGCAUUAUAGACGUAUGGAAAUGUAUACUUAAAUACUAUUCCAGUGAAUUGGAUGCACAUUAAUAAAGUACCACAGAAGAAAGAUGAUUCAACUAUCCUGGGGCAGUAAAAUCUGAUUAUUUAUAAGGGUGAUGGAGUGCUCUGGCAACCAGCUGCUGCAGCUUCAUGUCAAGUACAAGAGAAAUUGUUUGGAAAAGCUCCGAGAAAUACAUAGAGAAACUUCUGCUAGCAUGAACACCUGACAACAUUUAAAACACUUCCCCAAAAGACAAAUGGUUAAAGGAAAACUUCACUGUAGUCAUGUAAUAACAAAGCGGAGAUCUAAGAAGAAAAUGUCUGAAGUCAUCCAUAUAGGUGGAGAAAAUGAACUGCAUUCAAAUGGAAAUAUUGGGAGCAAACAAUUUUCUAACAAGCAAGCUGGUUCUAGCUAAUGCAACCGCAGUCAGCUGAGCUCUCCUGAGGACAGAGGGGAAUGAGUCCCCUCAGUGAGGUGGGGCAAAACAAAAAAGUUCAAAUGGAGGUCAUAGCAACUUUUUGAUACCGCAGUGCAGGUUGCAGCCUGUGUUUGAGAAAAGCACAGCUCAGCAUGGGAAAAAGCGAUGCAAAGGCUGCCCUACACUGCUUUGAUCUUCAGCUGACCAAAUGAUCCCAUCUUGCCCUCCAGCAUAUGGAGCUCUCUGGGAUAUGAUCCCGCAGGCUUUCAUAUUGGCUUGGAGGUAAACUGAAAGCAGAUAGCGGUGUUAUCUAAGAGCUUUAAGGACACUUCCUGACUUCCCACAUGGCGUUACAUCCCUCUCUGCUUCAGUGGUGCUCUCCCCCUUGGCUCCAAGGACAUGAUAGCGACAAUGAGGAAAACAAGGACAUAUUAGAUGCCUGAUGAAAAUAUCAACAGUGCAGUAUGGGCGGAGGGGAGAGCAAAAUCUGUAGAAUGUUGUCCCCUUGUAAAGCUGCAGCAAAAACAAGAAGUUCAAAUGAAGGCUACAGAACAAUUUUUUCUCUUCAGGGGGGUAGCUUGGAGGUAGUGUAAGUGGCAAAAUCCUUUCACCUUAAAAUGAGGGUUUGAUUCCAGCCCAACAUGCACCAGGCUGAUGAGCCUGAAGGAGAGGAUGAAAUUUCCUCUAGCUCAUUGAUCCACUGAGAGUUUUACUUGCCAAGGAAUGAGAAACCCUAGUUAUUCUUUCAAAGGGAUCUGUACUAUUAUGCUGUUUUGAUAUGAAACAGGUUGUAAGUAUGCAAGCUAGCCAAACUUUACUACAGAAAUACUCUUGAUUUCUCUCAAAGGAGAUUAUUUUCCUAAAUGAGGCUCCUAUAAUCACUACAGUAUGAGCAGAAACAAUCAAAUUCUGCCCCUUACACAGCACAGAAUGACAUCGCAGUGGUAAAAUACUACAAUGCGAGCAAUUAUUUUUCAUCAUUACAUUGGCUGUAAUACUCUGUACAUUACAAUGAAUUUGCAGAAAAUAUAGUCGAAAAUUUAAGUUCAAAGAUUAACAUCAGAGUACCAUUUGUUUUGUCCCUGCAGUUUUUGAUUAAUGGAGAUUGUUAAUUCAUACUGCCUCUUGGUUGAUAGUGGAGAGGUUCAUUCAUUCCACUGUCUUGAAUUUAAAUUUAGACUGCUUAUAUGUGUUCAUAUUUUCAAUUUAUAUUAUUACAUCCACUUCUGCUCUAUUCUUUGUUCAUUAGGGACCUCUGAACACCAGCUUGAGGAAGUUCUGUUAAAUGAAUCGCAUGCCCUUUGCAAGAGCUCUUUGAAUGACAUGUGUAAUUAUCAACAAUUAACAAGAUGCUAAUUAUACCUUCAAAUUAUAAUCCUACUGAGCAAAAUAAAAAUCCUUUAUGGAAGAAAAAAUUGUUAAAGACACAACACUAUAUUAAACCAAAUGACAAAAAGUUUGGCAACUUCUAAUGGUAUAAAUCAAACAAACUGCUGAACACAUCACACAGCUUGCCAGAAUGGCUCUCUGCCAAUUAGCUCUUCAGUGCAUAUUCAGUAAGGUGGGGGGAGGGUAAUGUAGAAAAAUGAAGGAGGAAGGGAAUUUAACAGACAUG
ensembl:lncRNA